rnacentral:rRNA from 1 species
UACAGAGAGUGCAAACGUUGUUCGGAAUUACUGGGCUUAAAGCGCGCGUAGGCUGCAUCGUAAGUGUCUGGUGAAAUCCCACGGCUCACCCGUGGAACUGCCAGGCAUACUGCGGUGCUAGAGUGUGGUAGGGGAGAGCGGAACUCCUGGUGGAGCGGUGAAAUGCGUAGAUAUCAGGAGGAACACCGGUGGCGAAGGCGGCUCUCUGGUCCACAACUGACGCUGAGGUGCGAAAGCUAGGGGAGCAAAC